ensembl:lncRNA
GAUCAACCCGCCACGGUUUACCUGGAGCAGGUGAAAGGACGGACCCAAUCAACCAAACUAACGCCAGUUCUUCAGUAACUGACGAGGGCUCAAGCAUCCCCGCACUAACGAGUGGAUUUCAAGAAGAUGGAGAGGGUCACCUGAAUCUUGACAUUUAUAAACAUGCAACUGCAUUUCUUCUUCAAGCCAAGGAAACUCAUUGACUGACACAGAGAGCUGUUAACCACAUCGUGAGUGGAAUCCAGCAAUAUCAGGCCGUAUUAUUGGAGCACCUAAAACAAGAAAUGAGUGACACGAUUGAGAGACAUUUUGGGGACCUGGAUCAACUAAAGAGUGACACAAUGGGGGUAUUUGACCAGUUUGUUGACCCUUUCACUCAAAUUGCUUCCACCCAUUUGCAGGACAAGACCAUCAAAGAACUGUUAAAACCAGUUGAACCAGAGAUUAUUGUCACAAAACUAACAGUAUGUUAU